CUCUCUCUCUCUCUCUCUCUCUCUCUAAUCUCUUUCCUUUCCUUCUCUCUUUUAAAUAAAAUACACGCUGUCAAAUACGGUAAAGUACGCAAACUGACACAACAGACGCGCGCUACUUUACUUUUUAUUUUUUUAAAAUAAGUUACAACAAUAUUUGUAUAGAUAAUAUCUAUAUAAAUUUGACAGCUGUCAACAUUCAAUCGCAAUGACAGCUACUCUUGGAACACGAAGCGCAAUGAAAGAAUCAAUUGGCAUCGCGGAAAAGAGGCAACAAAAUUCGAUUCGGUUUAACAUCUCCUUUUUCAGAUAAAAGAUAUGAAAAAUUUAUGAAUUAAUGAUAUACAAAGUGUACGAAAAGUGUCAAAACUCUUUAAUAUUUAGAAAAAUAUGCAUUUUCAAAAAAAUAUUUUAUACAAAAGCUAUAGGGUUUUAUAUAACGAAUUAUGUGGCUAUAUAUUGUGACCUUGAAGAACGUUACCACAAUUACAUAAACCUAGAAAUUUUUGAUCGUCAACUGCCAAUUUUUAUUGCAUAUUGUUGUAAGCCAAAUUACAACCGAUAGAUUAGUAAUUCGAAACGCAUCAUCUUUCGAAAAGACGUUGCAAGAAGCAUUUCUUUCGAAAGACACACAGGAAUUCGCCGCGCUCACGGAAGUCCCAAGCAACUUCCGUGAGCUUACAACAUCGCGAGCUUACAACAUACGGAACCGCUCGGAAGCAGUUCCGUAUCGCCCUAGAAAUAAGGCUCUACGCUGCACAAUUAAAUCGCGAAAUGACCGUUUUCUAGUGUCGAAACGCUUAGCCUUGCGGAAGCCAUCAACACCCGGUCACUAGCCUCUAAAAAUCGUGCUAAGCCAGCAAGUCAUCCGGCUACAUAUGUACGUGCAGUGACCGGGCGGAGAAUAACUAACAAUGAGCUAUGUCAGUUUACUACACGCUUAUCGCGAGUGUCACCUAACCCCAUACGCGCAGCACAGCUGAUUGUAAACCAGAGACAAGAAUAACGACCUAAAGCAGAACAAGCAAGAAGCCGUCUUUUCAAUCAAUCUACGAGCCGAAUCCUCUCCCCUUCGGGUCCUAACCCCUAAGACAAACGAACCCUAGAUAUAUCUCGGGAAGAACUCCCGUUCAGAAUAAAACGCUCACAACAAUAUUCUUGUAGCUUACCAUGAAAGCUUUUCAAAACACUAUAUUUAAGUAUUUUUACUUAAGUACUUUUCAAGUUAUACAACUUAAAAUUAACAAUUAUAGCUUUUAUGCUAUUUGAUUACUCAAAUCCUAGUGCGUCGUGAGAAUUAAUAUUGUACACAAUUUCAUUUUGACACAUGCCUAAUCUAUUGGUAAUAGCUUUUUAUUUCAGCCUUGACAAUGUAAGAUAGUCCCUUACAUUGUGAGUCCCACAAUCCCUUUGAAUAUAAUUUGCUUAUACUUCUGUUUUACUUAUUAGUUAAUUGUUUGUUAUAAUAUUUCAUAGUACUUCUACAAUGCGUAAAAUCGCAAGAGCCAAAGAAUUUUUGGAUAUAUUUUUGAUACUUUUUGUGAUAUAAUAUUAUGUAUAAGAUAUUGAUAACUGAUACGUAAGAUCCGUCAAAAAGCAUUCAUUUUUUAUUUUUUAAAAAUAAAAAUAAUUUGAAAAUAUUUUUUAGUAAUGUUCCAUAUCCCCCUACAGGUUCCAUAACCACAAUCUUCUUUUCCUUUCAGUAAAUUGUUAAUUAUGUUCGUUAUAUAUAUUCAAAGAACUUCUGCAUCUGCUUAAAACAUAAUUGCUAGAAUUCUAUGGGUAACAAACCUGUAUCAACAAGUGUCAUACAAAAUUUUAUUGAGUUAUUUAAAUAAAACAAAAUUGUGAUUUUUAACCUCGGUUUUUUUUCUACUUCUUAUAAUCUUGCAAAGUAAAUAUAGGAGCGAUGCAUUUGCACACGAUUCAAAUAGACACGGUGCUUUUGGGCACAAUAUUUUGCGCACCAUUCAUUUGCACACUGUUCAUUUGCACACCGUUCAGUUGCACAUCGUUCAGUUGUAGACUGUUCAUUUGCACACCGUUCACAUAGACACAGUGAGAAAUAACUAUGCCUUCUUCUUCUUCUUCUUCUUCAAAUUCCCCAGAUGGAUUUCCGACACAUAAACGGGUCACAGUACCACGGUUUAGUCAGGUCAACGACCUUUAGCAGACUCUUGAAGAAGAUCAGUCUGCUAUUCUCAUAAAAAUAACUAUGCUGAGGGCACCCUACCGACGGAGUGGGUGUGAGAGGGGAGCUGAAGGCCUCUAUUGCACCCCCGCGCGCGCGCGCGCGAGGGUGUGUCCGUUUCUUUUCGUGUCUAACUGAACAGCGUGCAAGUGAGCAAUGUCCAACCGAGCGGUGUGCAAAUAAACGGUGCUUUUGAUUGAAAGAGAAUUAAUAUAUUUUUAGAAAACGCAUGGGCGGGGGACAGGCGGAGCCCCCUCCCCGUAUUUUUUCCUAACCCACCAAUUUUAUAUCGCUAUUUGGUUAAUGCGAAAACAUUGGAAACGAACAGCGUGAAGGUCAAGGUUAUUAGUGCAGGUUUCCCUAAUCAAAAUAUUUACCCUUGGCAAGAUCAAAUCGGAAUAAAAACAAAUCUAUUUAGUGAUUUAUUUAUUUUACUAACUUAUUAAUUUGUAUUACCAAUAAAAAUAACUCAUAUUGUUUUGGAAAAACAUGUGUGCAAAAUUGCUAACUUAAUAGUUAGAAUCAUAAAAAAA